GUCGAACGAAGUAGCAAUACUUAGUGGCAGACGGGUGAGUAACAUGUCAGGUAUCUGCCCUUUGGCCUGGAAUAACACGAGGAAACUUGUGCUAAUACCGGAUAAGUCUUUACGGAGAAAGCUUUAUGCACCAUUGGAUGAGCCUGCACUUGAUUAGUUUGUUGGUGGGGUAAUGGCCUACCAAGACUGUGAUCAAUAGCUGAUUUGAGAGGAUGAUCAGCCACAUUGGGACUGAGACACGGCCCAAACUCCUACGGGAGGCAGCAGUGGGGAAUCUUGCACAAUGGAGGAAACUCUGAUGCAGCGAUGCCGCGUGAGUGAAGAAGGCCCUUGGGUUGUAAAGCUCUUUCGUCGGGGAAGAAAAUGACUGUACCCGAAUAAGAAGGUCCGGCUAACUUCGUGCCAGCAGCCGCGGUAAUACGAAGGGACCUAGCGUAGUUCGGAAUUACUGGGCUUAAAGAGUUCGUAGGUGGUUGAAAAAGUUGGUGGUGAAAUCCCAGAGCUUAACUCUGGAACUGCCAUCAAAACUUUUCAGCUAGAGUUUGAUAGAGGAAAGCAGAAUUUCUAGUGUAGAGGUGAAAUUCGUAGAUAUUAGAAAGAAUACCAAUUGCGAAGGCAGCUUUCUGGAUCAUUACUGACACUGAGGAACGAAAGCAUGGGUAGCGAAGAGGAUUAGAUACCCUCGUAGUCCAUGCCGUAAACGAUGUGUGUUAGACGUUGGAAAUUUAUUUUCAGUGUCGCAGCGAAAGCAAUAAACACACCG
rnacentral:rRNA from 1 species